rnacentral:rRNA from 1 species
CCUACGGGAGACAGCAGUGAGGAAUAUUGCGCAAUGGGCGAAAGCCAGACGCAGCAACGCCGCGUGGGCGACGAAGAUCUUCGGAUCGUAAAGCCCUUUUCCAGAGGAAGAGGAAGGACAGUACUCUGGGAAUAAGUCUCGGCUAACUACGUGCCAGCAGCCGCGGUAAAACGUAGGAGGCUAGCGUUAUCCGGAUUUAUUGGGCGUAAAGCGCGUGCAGGCGGCGCCUUAAGUUGGAUGUGAAAUCUCCUGGCCUAACUGGGAGGGGUCAUUCAAUACUGGGGCGCUUGAGGGCAGGAGAGGGAAAUGGAAUUCCCGGUGUAGCGGUGGAAUGCGUAGAUAUCGGGAGGAACACCAGUGGCGAAGGCGGUUUCCCGGCCUGUUCCUGACGCUGAGACGCGAAAGCUAGGGGAGCGAACGGGAUUAGAUACCCCUGUAGU